UCCAAGCCGUAAAUUAUGCAUGCUAGAUGUUUUGGACCCUUGUGGUCUGGAGUGUCGUAAUCUAACGAGUUAAGCAUGCCGCCUGGGUAGUAUACUCGCAAGAGUGAAACUCAAAGGGAUAGGCGGGGGAACACACAAGCAGUGGAUUGUCUAGAUUAAUUGGAUAAUAAGCCAAGAAUCUUACCUAGAUUUGACAUAUAUUAUGUCCUAUGUGAAAGCAUAGUAGUCCGAG
rnacentral:rRNA from 1 species